rnacentral:tRNA from 5 species
CGGAGCGUAGCGCAGCCUGGUAGCGCGGCUGGUUUGGGUCCAGCAGGCCGGAGGUUCGAAUCCUCUCGCUCCGACCA